rnacentral:rRNA from 1 species
AACGAACGCUGGCGGCAUGCCUAACACAUGCAAGUCGAACGAGACCUUCGGGUCUAGUGGCGCACGGGUGCGUAACGCGUGGGAAUCUACCCUUGGGUUCGGAAUAACAGUUAGAAAUGACUGCUAAUACCGGAUGAUGACGUAAGUCCAAAGAUUUAUCGCCCAAGGAUGAGCCCGCGUAAGAUUAGCUUGUUGGUGGGGUAAUGGCCUACCAAGGCGACGAUCUUUAGCUGGACUGAGAGGAUGAUCAGCCACACUGGGACUGAGACACGGCCCAGACUCCUACGGGAGGCAGCAGUGGGGAAUAUUGGACAAUGGGCGAAAGCCUGAUCCAGCAAUGCCGCGUGAGUGAUGAAGGCCUUAGGGUUGUAAAGCUCUUUUACCAGGGAUGAUAAUGACAGUACCUGUAGAAUAAGCUCCGGCUAACUCCGUGCCAGCCGCCGCGGUAA